AACGAACGCUGGCGGCAGGCUUAACACAUGUAAGUCGAGCGCCCCGCAAGGGGAGCGGCAGACGGGUGAGUAACGCGUGGGAAUCUACCCAUCUCUACGGAAUAACGCAUGGAAACGUGUGCUAAUACCGUAUACGUCCUUCGGGAGAAAGAUUUAUCGGAGAUGGAUGAGCCCGCGUUGGAUUAGCUAGUUGGUGGGGUAAAGGCCUACCAAGGCGACGAUCCAUAGCUGGUCUGAGAGGAUGAUCAGCCACACUGGGACUGAGACACGGCCCAGACUCCUACGGGAGGCAGCAGUGGGGAAUAUUGGACAAUGGGCGCAAGCCUGAUCCAGCCAUGCCGCGUGAGUGAUGAAGGCCCUAGGGUUGUAAAGCCCUUUCACCGGUGAAGAUAAUGACGGUAACCGGAGAAGAAGCCCCGGCUAACUUCGUGCCAGCAGCCGCCGUAAAAC
rnacentral:rRNA from 1 species